UUUCCUUGAGGCCUGAAGUCUGGCCACUUGCUGGUGUCCCACCCUCAUGCUUGGUAUCAGUUAGAGCAGCCACUGCCCUGGCUUGGAGGGACCCUGCACAAGGGACCAGGGGCCUUUCUGAGCCAUGGCCUCCCAGGCAUGUGGGUACCAGGCCCCAGGAGAGGUGCUGAAGAUACAUCAGUGAACAUAAGACUCAAAACUCCCUGCCUUCGAAGAGUUCCCAUUCCAGGGAUGGGAAGACAGACAGCACAUAAAAUCAGUGGGGCCCAUGCUGGAUGGAGUCUCGCCCCUGCAAAACCCCAGAGGGUGAGCAGCUUCUCCUCCACGGAGCUGGUCCUCAUCACCUGCCCCGGGCCCCUAAGGAAAUGAACAGCAUGCAGAACGCCUUGUUCAUGCAUCAGUGCUUCAAACUCAAAAGAAAAAAAAAAAAAA